rnacentral:rRNA from 1 species
UUAGUUGCCAUCAUUCAGGUUGGGCACUCGUAACGGGGACUGCCGGUGAUAAGCCGAGAGGAAGGUGGGGAUGACGUCAAGUCCUCAUGGCCCUUACGGGCGUGGGCUACACACGUGCUACAAUGGUGGUGACAGUGGGCAGCGAGACCGCGAGGUCGAGCUAAUCUCCAAAAGCCAUCUCAGUUCGGAUUGCACUCUGCAACUCGAGUGCAUGAAGUUGGAAUCGCUAGUAAUCGCGGAUCAGCAUGCCGCGGUGAAUACGUUCCCGGGCCUU